CAGCUCGUUUACAGAACUUGGACCGCCAGUACUGAUGAAAUGCUAAUGUGGGGCCACAUAACAGAAGAGGGCGGGCCUGUGAUCCCAAGCAUGGCCCAUGGGUGCCAGACCAAUGGCUAACCCUGCACUCAGACCCCAAGCUUCACCCUCAACUGUAUCUAUAUGCAUGUGUGUUUCAAAGAAGAGCAUGAUGGGAUAUGUGAAAAGAAGCAUUCCAAUGUACCUCUGCUCAUUCUUGAGUGAAUACCAAUGGACGAUGAAUAUGAGGAAGAAGAGGACGGGUCAGUGCAUAUCCGCAGAUAGUCACCAAAUGGAUCUGUGGAGCUGGCAGAAAAAGAGAGGUGGCCCAAACGAGGACGCUAAGGGCGCCCAAAAUAACGAUGGAGCCAAGAGCGGCCAGGCUAUCCUGCAUCCCGUGCCAUGCUCAGCUCGUGACAGGAAGUUCUGAAGUUGUCAAAUAUCUCCUGACAUACUGGCUGCGCGCUGGCUGCCUGCUGGCUGCCUGCUGUCCAGACUCAGGGUGGGGGAUGCAUCCUAGGGUACGUGGUGCUGGCCCCCCUGCCUGGUGCCGGGCCACUCGCAACGUGCAGAACAGGAUCCAGCCAGCAGUAAAGCAUGAUGGGGAACCCAUGCUCUAUCUGCGCCUUCCCGGAGAUAUGCGGGCAUGCUGGAGACAGCAAAGAAAACCAAAUUAGGUUUAAAACUGUUUGGACUCAUUUUGACCCCAAAAAACGUAACAUUUUUUCCUCGUUCUUUUGCCAUUUGCUUAAUACUUUGUAUCUGUAUUGUAUUUUCUGCACUGGACUGUCCAGGUAGUUAGUUCCAUUGUGCCUUAUUAUUGUCUUGUUUACAUGAAUAUACUCUUUGUUGCUGGUUGGUUAUAGCUCUGUGUGAAGACUCUAUGCAAGUAUUUCA